AAGCGGUGGAGCAUGUGGUUUAAUUCGAUGCAACGCGAAGAACCUUACCUGGCUUGACAUCCCGGGAAUCCCCUGGAAACAGGGGAGUGCCCUUCGGGGAACCCGGUGACAGGUGCUGCAUGGCUGUCGUCAGCUCGUGUCGUGAGAUGUUGGGUUAAGUCCCGCAACGAGCGCAACCCUCGUCCUUAGUUGCCAUCAUUAAGUUUGGGCACUCUAAGGAAACCGCCGGUGAUAAGCCGGAGGAAGGUGGGAUGACGUCAAGUCCUCAUGGCCCUUACAGGCUGGGCUACACACGUGCUACAAUGGCGGUGACAGUGGGCAGCCACUCCGCGAGGAGGAGCUAAUCCCAAAAAGCCGUCUCAGUUCGGAUUGUUCUCUGCAACUCGAGAGCAUGAAGGCGGAAUCGCUAGUAAUCGCGGAUCAGCAUGCCGCGGUGAAUACGUUCCCAGGCCUU
rnacentral:rRNA from 1 species